GACGAACGCUGGCGGCGUGCUUAACACAUGCAAGUCGAACGGAAAGGCCUUUUCGGAGGUACUCGAGUGGCGGACGGGUGAGUAAGACGUGGGUGAUCUGCCCUUCACUCUGGGAUAAGCCUGGGAAAGUGGGUCUAAUACCGGAUAGGACCGAACUCUUGUGUGUGUGGUGGAAAGUUUUUGCGGUGUAGGUUGAGCCCGCGGGCUAUCAGCUUGUUGGUGGGGUAAUGGCCUACCAAGGCGGCGACGGGUAGCCGGACUGAGAGGUUGGUCGGCCACAUUGGGACUGAGAUACGGCCCAGGCUCCGACGGGAGGCAGCAGGGGGGAAUAUUGCACAAUGGGCGCGAGCCUGAUGCAGCGACGCCGCGGGGGGGAUGACGGCCUUCGGGUUGUAAACUCCUUUCGCCAGGGACGAAGCGUUUUGUGACGGUACCUGGAGAAGAAGCACCGGCUAACUACGUG
rnacentral:rRNA from 1 species